GCGUGUGUUUAGCGUGUUUUUUUCCCUGCAUUGUUCCAUUCACUGUGGCUUGCAGGACAGACCCACGUCGUCGGAAACGUGCAGACCCCCUCACAGGCGCGGCCGGGGAGAGUCCAGCCGUGCCCCGAUGCGCAGCGCGGAGCAGCGGCCCACCGCUGUUAGUCCCACUCCGCAGCACCGGUGAGCAGCGACAAGUGCGAAUGAACGACGGCUUUGGAGGCAGGGAGAGGUGGCCUUUUAUUUUGCUGUUCUGUGGCUACCCCUGCAGGUCAUAAGCAAUCCAGUGAAAAUGGAACUGUCCCUACCUACCUGAACAGCACCUGGCAUAGUGAGCCAUCACAUCUGACUUUGCCUUGUGUGGCUUCAUAGCACAUUUUCCCACUGAAGACCUGAUUAUGUAAAAAGAUACAAUUUUGUUAACCUCUAUAUCAAUCCUAAACUCAAAAUAUUCCCACUCUGUGCUAUCCACCUAAUUUACUGAAAAACCACCCUCUGUAUUUUAGUCCAUUUUUCCUGUGGAAAUUAAAUUAGGUAUUUAGUC